UGGGGUGUAGCUGAGUGGGACAGUGUUUGCCUACCAUGUGAGAGGGCCUGGGUUUAAUGCCCAGUACUACAA
rnacentral:tRNA from 1 species